rnacentral:rRNA from 17 species
CUACGGGAGGCAGCAGUGGGGAAUUUUCCGCAAUGGGCGAAAGCCUGACGGAGCGACGCUGCGUGAAGGAUGACGGCCUGCGGGUUGUAAACUUCUUUUCUCGAAGAAGAAUAAAUGACGGUAUUCGAGGAAUAAGCAUCGGCUAACUCUGUGCCAGCAGCCGCGGUAAGACAGAGGAUGCAAGUGUUAUUCGGAUUGAUUGGGCGUAAAGCGUCUGUAGGCGGUUUGGAAAGUCUUUUGUGAAAUUCUUCAGCUCAACUGGGGGUCCGCAAAAGAAACUUCUAGGCUUGAGGGAAGUAGAGGUACAGGGAAUUUCCGGUGGAGCGGUGAAAUGCGUAGAUAUCGGAAGGAACACCAAUAUGGCGAAGGCACUGUACUGGGCUUUACCUGACGCUAAGAGACGAAAGCUAAAGGAGUGAUUAGGAUUAGAUACCCUAGUAAUUUUAGCCGUAAACGAUGGAAACUCACUGCCGAGCCGGUAUUCGGAGCGGUGGUCAAGCUAACGCGUGAAGUUUCCCGCCUGGGGACUACGCAUGCAAAUGUGAAACUCAAAGGAAUUGACGGGGACCCGCACAAGCGGUGGAGUAUGUGGUUUAAUUCGAUCAACGCGAAAAACCUUACCAAGGUUUGAAAUCAUUUCAAAACUCUUUGAAAGAAGAGCCUCCUUCGGGAUGGAAUGACAGGUGGUGCAUGGCUGUCGUCAGCUCGUGUUGUGAAAUGUCAAGUUAAGUCUUGUAACGAGCGCAACCCAUGUCUUUUGUUGCUGUUUACAGUGCUUAAAAGAGACUGCCGCUCUACAGCGGAGGAAGGUGUGGAUGAUGUCAAGUCAGCAUGCCCCUUAUAUCUUGGGCUACACACGUACUACAAUGGUAGGGACAAUGAGUCGCAAACCUGCGAAGGCUAGCCAAUCUCAAAAACCCUAUCUCAGUUCGGAUUGUACUCUGCAACUCGAGUGCAUGAAGGUGGAAUCGCUAGUAAUUGCUGGUCAGCA